GAUGAAGAACGUAGCGAAAUGCGAUAAGUAAUGUGAAUUGCAGAAUUCAGUGAAUCAUCGAAUCUUUGAACGCACAUUGCGCCCCUUGGUAUUCCGAGGGGCAUGCCUGUUCGAGCGUCAUUAUAACCCCUCAAGCUCAGCUUGGUGUUGGGGAUCAGCUUUCCCUGUGGGAGCUGGCCCUUAAAUCUAGUGGCGGUCUCGCUGUAGCCUCCUCUGCGUAGUAGCAAUAUCUCGCAGGCGGAGAGCGGCUUGACCACGCCGUUAAACCCCCAAUUUAUCAAGGUUGACCUCGGAUCAGGUAGGAAUACCCGCUGAACUUAAGCAUAUCAAUAAGCGGAGGA
rnacentral:misc_RNA from 1 species